rnacentral:rRNA from 1 species
GAUGAACGCUAGCGGCAGGCUUAAUACAUGCAAGUCGUGGGGCAGCAUGACUGUAGCAAUACAGUUGAUGGCGACCGGCAAACGGGUGCGGAACACGUACACAACCUUCCUUUAAGUGGGGAAUAGCCCAGAGAAAUUUGGAUUAAUACCCCGUAACAUAAUGAAAAGGCAUCUUUUUAUUAUUAUAGCAGUAAUGCGCUUGAUGAUGGGUGUGCGGCUGAUUAGAUAGUUGGCGGGGUAACGGCCCACCAAGUCUGCGAUCAGUAACUGGUGUGAGAGCACGACCAGUCACACGGGCACUGAGACACGGGCCCGACUCCUACGGGAGGCAGCAGUAAGGAAUAUUGGUCAAUGGACGCAAGUCUGAACCAGCCACGCCGCGUGGAGGAUGAAGGUCCUCUGGAUUGUAAACUUCUUUUAUAUGGGACGAAAAAGGGUCUUUCUAGAUCAACUGACGGUACCAUAUGAAUAAGCACCGGCUAACUCCGUGC